UACGUAGGGUGCAAGCGUUAUCCGGAUUUACUGGGCUUAAAGGGUGCGCAGGCGGCUAUGUAAGUCAGUGGUGAAAUCUCCGGGCUUAACCCGGAAACUGCCGUUGAUACUAUAUAUCUUGAAUGCUGUGGAGGUAAGCAGAAUAUGUCAUGUAGCGGUGAAAUGCUUAGGUAUGACAUAGAACACCGAUAGCGGAGGCAGCCUGCUACACAGUCAUUGACACUGAGGCACGAAAGCGUGGGGAUCAAACAGG
rnacentral:rRNA from 1 species